AGGAAAGAGGGCGGCGGGCCGAAUACAUGCAAGUCGAGCGAACAGACGAGGAGCUUGCUCCUCUGACGUUAGCGGCGGACGGGUGAGUAACACGUGGAUAACCUACCUAUAAGACUGGGAUAACUUCGGGAAACCGGAGCUAAUACCGGAUAAUAUAUUGAACCGCAUGGUUCAAUAGUGAAAGACGGUUUUGCUGUCACUUAUAGAUGGAUCCGCGCCGCAUUAGCUAGUUGGUAAGGUAACGGCUUACCAAGGCAACGAUGCGUAGCCGACCUGAGAGGGUGAUCGGCCACACUGGAACUGAGACACGGUCCAGACUCCUACGGGAGGCAGCAGUAGGGAAUCUUCCGCAAUGGGCGAAAGCCUGACGGAGCAACGCCGCGUGAGUGAUGAAGGUCUUCGGAUCGUAAAACUCUGUUAUUAGGGAAGAACAAAUGUGUAAGUAACUAUGCACGUCUUGACGGUACCUAAUCAGAAAGCCCCGGCUCCCUACGUU
rnacentral:rRNA from 1 species